rnacentral:rRNA from 1 species
UACGGGGGGAGCAAGCGUUGUUCGGAUUUACUGGGCGUAAAGGGCGCGUAGGCGGCCAGCACAAGUCAGUUGUGAAAUCUCCGAGCUUAACUCGGAAAGGUCAACUGAUACUGUGCGGCUAGAGUGCGGAAGGGGCAACUGGAAUUCCUGGUGUAGCGGUGAAAUGCGCAGAUAAUCAGGAGGAACACCGGUGGCGAAGGCGGGUCUCUGGGCCGGAUACUGACGCUGAGGAGCGAAAGCGUGGGGAGCGAACAGG